rnacentral:rRNA from 1 species
CCUACGGGCGGCAGCAGUGAGGAAUAUUGGUCAAUGGACGAGAGUCUGAACCAGCCAAGUAGCGUGAAGGAUGACUGCCCUAUGGGUUGUAAACUUCUUUUAUAAAGGAAUAAACUGAGGCACGUGUGCCUUUUUGCAUGUACUUUAUGAAUAAGGACCGGCUAAUUCCGUGCCAGCAGCCGCGGUAAUACGGCGGGUCCGAGCGUUAUCCGGAUUGAUUGGGUUUAAAGGGAGCGUAGAUGGGUUGUUAAGUUAGUUGUGAAAGGUUGCGGCUCAACCGUGAAAUUGCAAUUGAUACUGGCAGGCUUGAGUACAGUUGAGGUAGGCGGAAUUCGUGGUGUAGCGGUGAAAUGCUUAGAUAUCACGAAGAACCCCGAUUGCGAAGGCAGCUUACUAAACUGUGACUGACACUGAUGCUCGAAGGUGUGGGCAUCGAACAGGAUUAGAUACCCUGGUAGUC